UACAGAGGGUGCAAGCGUUGUUCGGAAUUAUUGGGCGUAAAGGGCGCGUAGGCGGUGCUGUAAGUCUGUGGUGAAAUCUCUGGGCUCAACUCAGAGUCUGCCAUAGAAACUGCAGUGCUGGAGUGUGGGAGAGGUGAGUGGAAUUCCCGGUGUAGCGGUGAAAUGCGUAGAUAUCGGGAGGAGCACCUGUGGCGAAAGCGGCUCACUGGACCACAACUGACGCUGAGGCGCGAAAGCUAGGGGAGCAAACAGG
rnacentral:rRNA from 1 species